AAUUUAAGUAGUUUAUUAAAAAUAUAGAAUUGUGGAUUCUAAGAGGCUUUUAGUCUUAAGUUU
rnacentral:tRNA from 1 species